AUGAACGCUGGCGGCGUUCCUUAUUCAUUCCAGUCGAGCGAACAGACGCUGAGCUUUCUCCUCUUACGUUAUCGGCGGACGGGUGAGUAACACUUUGUUAACCUACCUUUUUGACUGUGAUUACUUCGGGAAACCGGAUCUUAUUCCGGCUAAUUUAUUUAACCGCUUUGUUCUAUAUUUAAAUUCGGUUUUUCUUUCACUUAUUGAUUGUUCCGCGCCGUAUUAGCUAGUUGGUAAGGUAACGUCUUACCAAGGCAACGAUUCGUAGCCGACGUUAGAGGGUGAUCGGCCAAACGGGAACUGAGACACGGACCAGACUCCUACGGGAGGAAGCAGAAGGGAAUCUUCCGCAAUGGGCGAAAGCAUGACGGAGCAACGCCGCGUGAGUGAUGAAGGCGUUCGGAUCGUAAAACUCGGUUAUGAGGGAAGAAAAAAUGUGUAAGUAAAUAUGCACGUAGUGACGGUAACUAAACAGAAAGCAACGGCUAACUACGUG
rnacentral:rRNA from 1 species